UACGAAGGGUGCAAGCGUUAAUCGGAAUUACUGGGCGUAAAGCGUGCGUAGACGGUUACAUAAGUCAGGUGUGAAAGCCCCGGGCUCAACCUGGGAAUUGCAUUUGAGACUGUGUAGCUAGGGUGCGGAAGAGGGAAGCGGAAUUUCCGGUGUAGCGGUGAAAUGCGUAGAUAUCGGAAGGAACACCAGUGGCGAAAGCGGCUUCCUGGUCCAGCACCGACGUUCAGGCACGAAAGCGUGGGGAGCAAACAGG
rnacentral:rRNA from 1 species